rnacentral:rRNA from 1 species
AACGAACGCUGGCGGCAUGCCUAACACAUGCCAGUCGAACGAGACCUUCGGGUCUAGUGGCGCACGGGUGCGUAACGCGUGGGAAUCUGCCCUUCGGUUGGGAAUAACUGAGAGAAAUUUCAGCUAAUACCUUAUAAUGUCUUCGGACCAAAGAUUUAUCGCCGAGGGAUGAGCCCGCGUAGGAUUAGGUAGUUGGUGGGGUAAUGGCCUACCAAGCCGACGAUCCUUAGCUGGUCUGAGAGGAUGAUCAGCCACACUGGGACUGAGACACGGCCCAGACUCCUACGGGAGGCAGCAGUGGGGAAUAUUGGACAAUGGGCGAAAGCCUGAUCCAGCAAUGCCGCGUGUGUGAUGAAGGCCUUAGGGUUGUAAAGCUCUUUUACCCGGGAUGAUAAUGACAGUACCGGGAGAAUAAGCUCCGGCUAACUCCGUG